CAGCAGUAAAUGGAAAGCUGCAUUGACUUUUUCUGUGAUGCCACACAACCCAAAUAGUAUGUUUGUUAGUGGAAGGAAAUUAUUUUCUAGCUUCUGAGAAAGUGCUGCAGAAGAUACAGUUUUUAUGUGGACAGCGUAUGACUGGAGGGCAAAAACCAAAGUGCAGGCUUGGAAGAAGAGAAACCACUGUGGAUAUCAACCAUUUGUUCCAUGGCUGCUCCUGUGACUCUUGGGGUGCCAGUGAUUGUAGCAGACCACCUCUAGAUCCAGAUUUCCUCCCCAUCUACUGAUAAGAGGGACGUUCAUACAAGAACUCUAACUUGUGCCAUUAUUGACUGCACCAUUAGGAGACAUCUGAAGUCUGGAAAGCAGGUCAUUGAGUGCACAUCACUUGGUAAGGCUCUUGACAAGGCAGAUAUGACAUUCAGAUAAUGUCUGUCUAGAAGAAAAUAGGACUUCUCUCUUGGCUUCAAUCCUUUGGAUUCAAAGAAGAGGUACAGAUUAAGUCAUUUCAGCUCACCCUUUGCCA
ensembl:lncRNA